UACGUAGGGUGCGAGCGUUGUCCGGAAUUAUUGGGCGUAAAGAGCUUGUAGGCGGUUUGUCGCGUCUGCCGUGAAAAUCCGGGGCUCAACCCCGGACUUGCGGUGGGUACGGGCAGACUAGAGUGUGGUAGGGGAGACUGGAAUUCCCGGUGUAGCGGUGAAAUGUGUAGAGAUCGGGAGGAACACCGGUGGCGAAGGCGGGACUCUGGGCCUACCCUGACGCUGAGGCGCGAAGGCGUGGGGAGCAAACGGG
rnacentral:rRNA from 1 species